UACCUGCAGCUCGAGUGGUAACCGCUAUUAUUGGGCCUAAAGCGUCCGUAGCCGGUUUGGUAAAUAUCUGGGUAAAUCGUGAGGCUUAACUUCACGAAUUUCGGAUAGACUGCCAGACUUGGGAUCGGGGGAGGUCAGAGGUACUCCAGGGGUAGCGGUGAAAUGUUGUAAUCCUUGGAGGACCACCGGUAGCGAAGGCGUCUGACUAGAACGAGUCCGACGGUGAGGGACGAAGCCCUGGGGCGCAAACCGGAUUAGAUACCCGGGUAGUCCAGGGUGUAAACGAUGUGGGCUUUGUAUUGGAGGUCCCACGUGGGCGUCCAGUGCAGAAGAGAAGUUGUUAAGCCCACCGCCUGGGAAGUACGGUCGCAAGGCUGAAACUUAAAGGAAUUGGCGGGGGAGCACAGCAACGGGAGGAGCGGUGCGGUUU
rnacentral:rRNA from 1 species